UUGUGGGUAACUCACAUUGGGUGUUGACUGUGCACACAAAUAAUUCCUAUAUUCUCUGGUUUAAAUCUGUAUUUCUUAUCCCUGUCAUCUCAGCAAUGUAUGGUUACAUUACUACUAUACCUUUCAGUGUUUUAUAUAUGCUUACUCUUACACAAUAGUACUGCAUGAAUUUUGAGGCAGUCUAAAUAUUUAAUCAUGUAACUGUAUUGCAGCUUAGUUGUCUUCAUACAUUCUGGAAUAUUCAUAUGACAUGCGUGAAAUUUGCUGUUCAAACAGUUUGAACACCAGCCAAGGUUGCAGGCAAAAAGGUGAAAUCUCAACAGCUGUGGAGGUGGUUGGAGUUGGCUCAAUUACCACAGGUGGUGUAGAUGGAGACUGCGAUAAUGAUGGAGGAUUCAUAAGCGUUGCCUCCUCCUGACCUUCCUCAUCUUCAUUAAAAGAUACAGACUUAGCUUUGUGCCAUACUACAACAUCUACUAUAAAUGCUAGCAACAUUACAGCACCUGUUAUACCUGCAAAAGGUAAAGCAUAUUUAGAUUUUAGAUUUAACAUAAAAGUAUUAACUCAUGAGUUUUCCUGUCUGUAAAACAUAUUGUUCCGAGUUACCUCUGAUAGGAAAACUCAUGGAAUUAGAUAAUACCUAGUCAUUUCUGGAUGGGAAAACCUAAUGUGUAAAUAUAUAA